CUGGCGGCGUGCCUAAUACAUGCAAGUCGAGCGGACGACGGGAGCUUGCUCCCUUAGGUCGCGGCGGACGGGUGAGUAACACGUGGGUAACCUGCCUGUAAGACUGGGAUAACUCCGGGAAACCGGGGCUAAUACCGGAUGCUUGAUUGAACCGCAUGGUUCAAUCAUAAAAGGUGGCUUUUAGCUACCACUUACAGAUGGACCCGCGGCGCAUUAACUAGUUGGUGAGGUAACGGCUCACCAAGGCGACGAUGCGUAGCCGACCUGAGGAGGGUUGUAUGGGCCACACUGGGACUGAGAUCACGGCUCAGACUCCUACGGGAGGCAGCAGUAGGGAAUCUUCCGCCAUUGACGAAAGUUUGACGGAGCAACGCCGCGUUAGUGAUGAAGGUUUUCGGAUCGUAAAACUGCUGUUGUUAGGGAAGAACAAGUACCGUUCGAAUAGGGCGGUACCUUGACGGUACCUAACCAGAAAGCCACGGCUAACUACGUGGCAGCAGCCGCGGUAAUACGUAGGUGGCAAGCGUUGUCCGGAAUUAUUGGGCGUAAAGCGCGCGCAGGCGGUUUCUUAAGUCUGAUGUGAAAGCCCCCGGCUCAACCGGGGAGGGUCAUUGGAAACUGGGGAACUUGAGUGCAGAAGAGGAGAGUGGAAUUCCACGUGUAGCGGUGAAAUGCGUAGAGAUGUGGAGGAACACCAGUGGCGAAGGCGACUCUCUGGUCUGUAACUGACGCUGAGGCGCGAAAGCGUGGGGAGCGAACAGGAUUAGAUACCCUGGUAGUCCACGCCGUAAACGAUGAGUGCUAAGUGUUAGAGGGUUUCCGCCCUUUAGUGCUGCAGCAAACGCAUUAAGCACUCCGCCUGGGGAGUACGGUCGCAAGACUGAAACUCAAAGGAAUUGACGGGGGCCCGCCCAAGCGGUGGAGCAUGUGGUUUAAUUCGAAGCAACGCGAAGAACCUUACCAGGUCUUGACAUCCUCUGACAACCCUAGAGAUAGGGCUUCCCCUUCGGGGGCAGAGUGACAGGUGGUGCAUGGUUGUCGUCAGCUCGUGUCGUGAGAUGUUGGGUUAAGUCCCGCAACGAGCGCAACCCUUGAUCUUAGUUGCCAGCAUUCAGUUGGGCACUCUAAGGUGACUGCCGGUGACAAACCGGAGGAAGGUGGGGAUGACGUCAAAUCAUCAUGCCCCUUAUGACCUGGGCUACACACGUGCUACAAUGGGCAGAACAAAGGGCAGCGAAGCCGCGAGGCUAAGCCAAUCCCACAAAUCUGUUCUCAGUUCGGAUCGCAGUCUGCAACUCGACUGCGUGAAGCUGGAAUCGCUAGUAAUCGCGGAUCAGCAUGCCGCGGUGAAUACGUUCCCGGGCCUUGUACACACCGCCCGUCACACCACGAGAGUUUGUAACACCCGAAGUCGGUGAGGUAACCUUUUGGAGCCAGCCGCCGAAGG
rnacentral:rRNA from 1 species